rnacentral:rRNA from 1 species
UACGUAGGGGGCUAGCGUUGUCCGGAAUCAUUGGGCGUAAAGCGCGUGUAGGCGGUCCGGUAAGUCCGCUGUGAAAGUCGGGGGCUCAACCCUCGGAUGCCGGUGGAUACUGUCGGGCUUGAGUACGGAAGAGGCGAGUGGAAUUCCUGGUGUAGCGGUGAAAUGCGUAGAUAUCUGGAGGAACACCGGUGGCGAAGGCGGCGAUCCUGGACCGGUAUUGACGCGUGAUGCGCGAAAGCCAGGGGAGCAAAGCGGG